CAGUCGCCGCGGUAAUACGUAGGUGGCAAGCGUUGUCCGGAAUUAUUGGGCGUAAAGCGCGCGCAGGCGGAUAGGUCAGUCUGUCUUAAAAGUUCGGGGCUUAACCCCGUGAUGGGAUGGAAACUGCCAAUCUAGAGUAUCGGAGGGGAAAGUGGAAUUCCUAGUGUAGCGGUGAAAUGCGUAGAUAUUAGGAAGAACACCAGUGGCGAAGGCGACUUUCUGGACGAAAACUGACGCUGAGGCGCGAAAGCCAGGGGAGCGAACGGGAUUAGAUACCCGCGUAGUCCCUGUCUCUUAUACA
rnacentral:rRNA from 1 species